UGCUCUGCAAAAGAGAAAACCACAACGACAAAGGUUGACUCAGUAAUAGUCAGUUCCACCCUCUACCCCACUGGGACUUGUUCUGUCGCUUGGAAAUCCUUUCAUUCAUCUACAGUUAUUUUCUCAACAUGUUUUUCAACAAGGUCCAUUCUUACGUUUCUACUCUUUUUAUAUGCAGUCUUCACCACACUACUUUUGGCCAACUGUUCUUGUUUCUAAGGUCACAUGGCACACAGAUAUCAGGGUGCCCAGAUUCAGAUUAAUACCGAAAAGCCUUGCUCAUUGUACAGGUGACAUAAAAGCAAUGUAAGAAAGAAUUUCAGGAGGGAGAGGGGAUUUCAAUGGCCACCAGCUAAGCGCAAAAAUCAGUAAAUACUUUUCUUCGAGAAUGUGGUAUGGAGUCUAAGGCAUACUGUGAUAAAAGAAACUUCGAAGCCUUACCGAGAUACAUAUGGACGUGCAGAAGAGACCGUGGAGAAUGCCUCACUGUGUGGAAACUUCCAAAACUACCUACCGUAAAAGUUAAGACUAUGACUUCAAAUGUCUUGGCAGUUACUUGUGACUGAAUUAAGUUGAGCUCCUUGGAUUUUGUUAGACAGGCCCUUUUUGGUCCAAUGUUCUUUUUAAGUGUGGACCCCUACCUAGAAGAUAUGUGAGUUCAUGACAGAAUUCUAAACUCCAGAAAUAUUUUGAAAGCUCAAGUGAUUAAGCUAAUUUAACUGUAACUUAGAAAAAGCAUCUUGAAAAAAUUAGACAACAGAGCCAGGUGUGGUGGCUCAUGCCUAUAAUUCCAUCCAGUACUUGGGAGCUGACAAAGGAGGAAGACUUCCUUAAGUUCCAGGCUAGUCUGGGCUACAGAAUAGAUUCCAGGCUAGCUUGUGCACAAGUGUGAGACUCUAUUUAAAAAAAAAACAAACAAACUAGGUAUCAGAAUACCUUUCGAUAAAACUUUGUACUUUAGACAAAGAUUUUGUUUUCUGGAGAGUAUAAAACUGGGUAACUUAUUCAUAGACAACUGCUUCUGGGUCAGGGUUUCGUACGUAGUGGAGCAGCUCCCUCGCUGCGAUCUAUUGAAAGUCAGCCCUCAACACAAGGGUUUGUAAAAAAAUAUUUUAAAAAACUAUGUAACUACAAAGCAUGACUAGAAAAAUGUUUUUAUAGGGGAUCUAGUAAACCAUUGAUAUUCCUAAAAUGCCAUAUUUUUAGUUAUUGGAUGGGAGCAUCAAAUUGUCUAAAAAGUUUUAAGUGUGAGAAACAAUGUUUUAGUUUUAGUAAUGUCUCUUAUUUAUGUCUACAAAAUGCAUCCUAUAAUUUAUAGAAGCAAUAGAAAAACAGUAAGAAAAUAUUAAUAAAUGAUAUGUUUACUCCUGGAAUACUAAAUGGAAUGGUAUGGACCGUUUACUCCUGGAAAACAUUGUUUUUAUGGAAUAAAUCAAUAUAGUUAACAUUC